UUAAACGUCCAUACAACGUUGAAUACACCAGUUCUCGUCCGAUCACCGAAGUUAAGCAACGUCGGAUGGUAUGACAAAUUAUAAUCUAACAUUUAAA
rnacentral:rRNA from 1 species